rnacentral:pre_miRNA from 1 species
CGGGGGAAGCCGGAUCCUCGGCUGUGUCCCGGUGCCCCGUGCUCCCCCGGCCUGCGCUGUUGGAUUCGCGCUCCCAGCCGGGCAGCCCCCG